AUGUCGUCAGUGUCACCCUUGGGGUCCCAGUGCCACCCUUGGGGUCCCUGUGUCACCCUUGGGGUCCCAGUGCCACCCUUGGGGUCCCUGGGCCACCCUUGGGGUCCCUGGGCCACCUUCCCUGUCCCCAGUGUCACCCUUGGGGUCCCAGUGUCACCCUUGGGGUCCCAGUGUCACCUUUGGGGUCCCAGUGCCACCUUUGGGGUCCCAGUGUCACCUUUGGGGUCCCAGUGCCACCCUUGGGGUCCCCAGUGUCACCCUUGGGGUCCCUGGGCCACCCUGGAUGUCCCAGUGCCACCCUUGGGGUCCCUGUGUCACCCUUGGGGUCCCUGUGUCACCCUGGAUGUCCCCAGUGCCACCCUUGGGGUCCCUGGGCCACCCUUGGGGUCCCAGUGUCACCCUUGGGGUCCCUGUGUCACCCUUGGGGUCCCUGUGUCACCCUGGAUGUCCCCAGUGCCACCCUUGGGGUCCCUGUGUCACCCUUGGGGUCCCAGUGUCACCUUUGGGGUCCCCGGUGCCACCCUGGAUGUCCCCAGUGCCACCCUCCCUGUCCCCAGUGUCACCCUUGGGGUCCCUGUGCCACCCUUGGGGUCCCAGUGUCACCUUUGGGGUCCCUGGGCCACCCUGGAUGUCCCCAGUGCCACCCCGGGGCCCAGUUCCCAUUCCCAGUCCAAUCCCAUUUCCCAUUCCCGGUUCCCAGUUCCCAUUCCCGGUUCCCAGUUCAAUCCCAGUCCAACCCUUUCCCCACUGCCCCAUUCCCAGUUCAAUCCCAGUUCCCAGUUCCCAGCCCCAAUAUCCCAGGAAUUCCCAUUCCCAGUUCCCAGUUCAAUCCCAGUUCCCAUUCCCAGUUCCCAGCCCAAUCCCAGUUCCCAGUUCCCAUUCCCAGUUCCCAGCCCCAAUAUCCCAGGAAUUCCCAUUCCCAGUCCAAUCCCAGUUCCCAGUUCCCAUUCCCAGUUCCCAUUCCCAGUUCCAGCCCCAUUUCCCGGGAAUUCCCAUUCCCAAUCCAAUCCCAGUUCCCAGCCCCAGUUCCCAGUCCAAUCCCAGUUCCCAUUCCCAGUUCCAGCCCCAUUUCCCGGGAAUUCCCAUUCCCAAUCCCAGUUCCCAAUUCCCAGUUCCCAGUUCCAUCCCAGUUCCCAUUCCCAUUCCCGGUUCCCAGUUCCCAUUCCUGGUUCCCAGUUCAAUCCCAGUCCAACCCUUUCCCCACUGCCCCAAUCCCAGUUCAGUCCCAGUUCCCAUUCCCAGUUUCCCGGGAAUUCCCAUUCCCACUCCCAUUUCCCCGUUCAAUCCCAGUUCCCAUUCCCAUUCCCCGGGAAUGCCCAUUCCCAGUCCAAUCCCAGUUCCCAAUUCCCAGUUCCCAGCCCCAGUUCAGUCCCAUUCCCAUUCCUGGUUCCCAAUUUCCCAGGAAUUCCCAUUCCCAUUCCCAGUUCAAUCCCAGUUCCCAUUCCCAUUCCCAGUUCCCAGUUCAGUCCCAGCUCCCAUUCCCAGUUCCCGGAAAUUGCCAUUCCCAGUCCAAUCCCAGUUCAGUCCCAGUUCCCAUUCCCAGUUCAGUCCCAGUUCCCAUUCCCAUUUCCCGGGAAUUCCCGUUCCCAUUCCCAGUCCAAUCCCAGUUCAGUCCCAGUUCCCAUUCCCAUUCCCAGCCCCAUUUCCCGGGAAUUCCCAAUUCCCAUUCCCAUUCCCAGUCCAAUCCCAGUUCCCAGCCCCAGUUCAAUCCCAGUUCCCAUUCCCAUUCCAAUUCCUGGUUCCCAAUUUCCCGGGAAUUCCCAUUCCCAUUCCCCAGUUCAAUCCCAGUUCCCAUUCCCAAUUUCCCGGGAAUUCCCAUUCCCAUUCCC
rnacentral:lncRNA from 13 species